rnacentral:rRNA from 1 species
GACGAACGCUGGCGGCGUGCUUAACACAUGCAAGUCGAACGAAGAGCGAUGGAAGCUUGCUUCUAUCAAUCUUAGUGGCGAACGGGUGAGUAACGCGUAAUCAACCUGCCCUUCAGAGGGGGACAACAGUUGGAAACGACUGCUAAUACCGCAUACGAUCUAAUCUCGGCAUCGAGGAUAGAUGAAAGGUGGCCUCUACAUGUAUGCUAUCACUGAAGGAGGGGAUUGCGUCUGAUUAGCUAGUUGGAGGGGUAACGGCCCACCAAGGCGAUGAUCAGUAGCCGGUCUGAGAGGAUGAACGGCCACAUUGGGACUGAGACACGGCCCAGACUCCUACGGGAGGCAGCAGUGGGGAAUCUUCCGCAAUGGACGAAAGUCUGACGGAGCAACGCCGCGUGAGUGAUGACGGCCUUCGGGUUGUAAAGCUCUGUUAAUCGGGACGAAAGGCCUUCUUGCGAAUAGUGAGAAGGAUUGACGGUACCGGAAGAGAAAGCCACGGCUAACUACGUG